UAGUCCUCCACAUUUUGGUGUUCCCUGUUGGUUGAAAUCAUUUUCAGACUAGAGGGGUAACACAAAUACAACCAAACAACUUUACCAUUAGCAGUUAAAGGAACAGGUGCUCAAGCCUUCCUGACCUCGCCCUUUGGAUGCCACUGUUAUGUAUUAAUAAGGAAGAGAGGCCCAAAAACGUAUUCUGCCUUUGCCACAAUAAGAGGUAAACCCGGCCCUGAGCACAGAUUUGGCACUCAUGAACUCUGACAUGUUUUCUCAGAGUGUUGAAUUUGGUGUGUGUGAUCGUGGGGCUGGUGUUCUUCAGUUUGGCCCUGUUGACCUUUGCCCUUUGUCAGUGGAGUCCUGGAGUGAAUAAUGUGGCUCGAAUCAACAUCUGCAUCAGUCUUCUGUUGGCUCACCUUCUGUUUCUGCUCACACAGCAGUUCCUGAGCCUCAUACAGCCUCUGCAGGUGAGAAUGAUGAAGGAGCCCUACAGCUCAGCACAGCCUCACUGAGAAUCAUCAUAACUGUCUCUCAUGGUCUCCAGGUGUUGUGUGCCGUGAUCUCAGGCCUUCUGCACUUCCUCUUUCUCUCCGGCUUUGUGUGGAUGUUCAUUGAAGCUGUGCUGCUCUUCAUCUGUGUGAAGAACCUAUCACAGAUCAGCUCCAAGAAGAGGGAGGUGCUUAGCAGUGGAUUCCUGUGUGUGAUUGGAUAUGUGGUUGCUAUGGUUGUCUGGUGUCUGGUUCCUGAAGGCUACGGCAGCGAACAGAUCCCCGCUGAUGGGAUGUACGAUCGCCAUUGGUGGUGGAGACAAGGUGUGGUCUUUAAAAGGACGCUGCCGGCAUUCAACGAGGAGCUCAUUGUUGGUUCGGACGCGGUUAGGUUGAGAGAUCCUGGAUCCCUUCUCCAGCCGAUGAUCAAAUUUGAGCGAAUGAGCAAAGGGGUGUCCUGCCGAUUUGUUUUGGUUAUCUUGUUUGGGUUCUGUUUUGUGUUAGGAAGUUAGGGAAGUAAAAUGUAUUUCACUUUUGUUAUUUGAUGAGGUUAGUUAUUACUUUCUUUUCUUUCCAUAUUUGUUUUGUUUGUUAUUUUGGCCUUUGGGACACCCUGAUGCUCUUUGUUUCACUUGUUAGUUUUAAAUAAAUCUAAUUCCUUAUUCU
ensembl:lncRNA